UACGUAGGGAGCAAGCGUUAUCCGUAUUUAUUGGGUGUAAAGGGUGCGUAGACGGAGAAGCAAGUUAGUUGUGAAAUCCCUCGGCUUAACUGAGGAACUGCAACUAAAACUACUUCCCUUGAGUACUGGAGAGGAAAGUGGAAUUCCUAGUGUAGCGGUGAAAUGCGUAGAUAUUAGGAGGAACACCAGUGGCGAAGGCGACUUUCUGGACAGUAACUGACGUUGAGGCACGAAAGUGUGGGGAGCAAACAGG
rnacentral:rRNA from 1 species